rnacentral:rRNA from 1 species
GACGAACGCUGGCGGCGUGCUUAACACAUGCAAGUCGAACGAAGAGCGGUGGAAGCUUGCUUCUAUCAAUCUUAGUGGCGAACGGGUGAGUAACGCGUAAUCAACCUGCCCUUCAGAGGGGGACAACAGUUGGAAACGACUGCUAAUACCGCAUACGAUCCAAUCUCGGCAUCGGGACUGGAUGAAAGGUGGCCUCUAUUUAUAAGCUAUCACUGAAGGAGGGGAUUGCGUCUGAUUAGCUAGUUGGAGGGGUAACGGCCCACCAAGGCGAUGAUCAGUAGCCGGUCUGAGAGGAUGAACGGCCACAUUGGGACUGAGACACGGCCCAGACUCCUACGGGAGGCAGCAGUGGGGAAUCUUCCGCAAUGGACGAAAGUCUGACGGAGCAACGCCGCGUGAGUGAUGACGGCCUUCGGGUUGUAAAGCUCUGUUAAUCGGGACGAAUGGUUCUUGUGCGAAUAGUGCGAGGAUUUGACGGUACCGGAAUAGAAAGCCACGGCUAACUACGUG